rnacentral:rRNA from 1 species
CAGUCGCCGCGGUAAUACGGAGGGCGCGAGCGUUACCCGGAUUUACUGGGCGUAAAGGGCGUGUAGGCGGCCUGGGGCGUCCCAUGUGAAAGGCCACGGCUCAACCGUGGAGGAGCGUGGGAUACGCUCAGGCUAGAGGGUGGGAGAGGGUGGUGGAAUUCCCGGAGUAGCGGUGAAAUGCGCAGAUACCGGGAGGAACGCCGAUGGCGAAGGCAGCCACCUGGUCCACUUCUGACGCUGAGGCGCGAAAGCGUGGGGAGCAAACCGGAUUAGAUACCCCGUAGUCCCUGUCUCUUAUACA